rnacentral:lncRNA from 1 species
CUCUAUUGCUCUUGUUCUUGCAUUAUUGUUCUUGUCUUUUAUAUUAUUUCAUAACAGUUUGGCUAAUCUUUAUAAAAGUUGCCUUCGAGUAUCAAACUACUAAAAAGAAUAAUAUCAAGGGUCAAUUUACUAUUAAUAUUAUUUAAAAGAAAGAAACGUAUUCAAAAGAUUUAUUAUAAAAUAAUAAUUUAGUUUUUAUUUUUAACUAAUUAAAAUAUAAAAUAUAAAUUUAAAAUAUAUAUUACAGAUUAUAAUCAACGUAAAAUAUAAUUUAUCUAAACAGUAAUAUUAACCACCUGCUAUACUUUUAAAAAUAAAUAACUUAAAUAUUUUGAAAAAGAUACUUCAGAAUAAUAAUUAGCUUAAUUAUUUCCAAAAGGGAUGCUAGUUUUAAUUUUAAAAAGAAAAAAUAAAGGUGAAAUAUGAGAGGAUGAAAAGAAAAACGAAUAGGAAUGGUAAAAUAUCUAUUUAUAGCAUAUAGACGGUUUAAAAGAAAAGGAGGAGAAAGAGAAUAAUACGGCAAAAACAAAAAGAGAAGGAAAAGGGAUGAUAAAAAUAUAAAGAUUAAAUUAAUUAGGGAUAAAUUGAGAUAUAAAUUUAUGAUAGAGAUAUCUUUUUAUUUUAAAAGAUUUUUACUUAUGUUUUGAAGAAUCUAUAAUUUGUAGAAUUUUCAUACAAGCAAAACAAAUACUUUUGGUUUGGGGGUUGUGUGGGGGAGGAGGGAGUUUGCUUUUGCACAAUGAAACGUUUGGCCGAAUAAGCUAUAAAUCGUUAAAGUAUCUUACACUAAGGUCUAGUUCUCAAGGAUUUCAAAAAAGAAAUGUAUUCUUUUAUUGAAGGACGAUUGACAAUUUUCAAUUCCAAUUCGUUCAUUAUGUGAGCCUAAAUGCUUUUAUAAAAAUCCCGAAUAAAAUCGUUCAUUUAAAUUCAAUAUUAUCCAUGUUCUUCCUCAAUUUAACUUUGACUUGAACAUAAUUCAUUUUAAGACAUUACAUAUAUAAAACUUCACUAAAAUGGUAAUUUCUACUUCAAUCAUACCACCCAAAUAUUCAAUAGUGAAUCCAUAAUUACAUUCAAAAAACAGGGUGAAGAUAGUAGCUCUCUCAAACUCAAACUAAACCCUAAGUUGAGCUACGUUCUUGUGUGUUUUUCUUGAAGUUAUUGUUGAUAUCAAAUUAAUCCAAAUAUAUAUAUAAAAGUAAAUGUUAAUUAACUCUAAUUAACACAAUAAUUUUGUAGGAAUUUACCUUGAAGAGGUUGGCCGGCAUGCACCCUCAUUGACCAAAAACAAAGACAUGCACUCUCACUGUUUGCUUCCAAGAAAACUUAUUAAAGCAAAGUAUUAUAUCUCUUGGAGUGAGCUUUGAUUGACUUUCAGGAUAAAUACAUUUAUAGAAUACUAUGAGGCAUUUUAAAAGAAAUGCUAACCUUUUGCUCUUUGUUUGUCGGCUGUGAUAUUUAAUAUAUUGCAGGGCCACAUUUUAAUUACUUGCUUUUUAA